AGCAGAGUGCCUCAGUACAGGGAGAGGGAUAGAGAAUGACACACAUAGAGAGCUGAAGAUUGCAGCUCAGUUUGAUGAAGAAAACAAACAUCCUCUUCAACAGCAGAUGUGCAGCAUGGCAGUGAGUCUGAGUGAUUACUGACCAGGAUCCCUGCAGAUGACAUGCAGUCUCAAAAAAGAGUGGAGGUGCAUGACCAUCUCAAUGGCUCGCGGAUCAUUUUCUCGGAUGAGGCUCUUCCCGGCAGUGGAUCAAGACAGCACUUCAUGGCUCCGAAUAUGACCCAGGAAGUAGUCGUAAUCUCUCCUGGUCUUCCUACACCUCCCUCAAGUCCGUUCCACAACAGUUCAGCCCCUGCAUCGUCACAGCACAAGGCAAGAGUACAGCUGUAACACAUUACUGCUGCAGACAUUAUUCCACAUGUGUGUUG
rnacentral:lncRNA from 1 species